rnacentral:rRNA from 1 species
GACGAACCGUGCGAACGUUGUUCGGAAUCACUGGGCAUAAAGGGCGCGUAGGCGGCUUAUCAAGUCAGGGGUGAAAUCCGGCAGCUCAACUGUCGAAGUGCCUUUGAUACUGACGAGCUCGAGGGAGAUAGGGGUGUGUGGAACUUCCGGUGGAGCGGUGAAAUGCGUUUAUAUCGGAAGGAACGCCGGUGGCGAAAGCGACACACUGGAUCUCUUCUGACGCUGAGGCGCGAAAGCCAGGGGAGCAAACGGG